ensembl:lncRNA
AUGAUAUACAAAUCAUCAUAUAAAAACAUGAUCGGUUCUCCACGAAUACUAGGUUUGUCUGUAUACUGGACUGGCCAAUGUCUGUAUACUGGACUGGCCAAUGCCUGUAUACUGGACUGGCCAAUGCCUGUAUACUGGACUGGCCAAUGCCUGUAUACUGGACUGGCCAAUGCCUGUAUACUGGACUGGCCAAUGCCUGUAUACUGGACUGGCCAAUGCCUGUAUACUGGACUGGCCAAUGCCUGUAUACUGGACUGGCCAAUGCCUGUAUACUGGACUGGCCAAUGCCUGUAUACUGGACUGGCCAAUGCCUGUAUACUGGACUGGCCAAUGCCUGUAUACUGGACUGGCCAAUGUCUGUAUACUGGACUGGCCAAUGCCUGUAUACUGGACUGGCCAAUGUCUGUAUACUGGACUGGCCAAUGCCUGUAUACUGGACUGGCCAAUGCCUGUAUACUGGACUGGCCAAUGCCUGUAUACUGGACUGGCCAAUGCCUGUAUACUGGACUGGCCAAUGCCUGUAUACUGGACUGGCCAAUGCCUGUAUACUGGACUGGCCAAUGCCUGUAUACUGGACUGGCCAAUGCCUGUAUACUGGACUGGCCAAUGUCUGUAUACUGGACUGGCCAAUGCCUGUGUACUGGACUGGCCAAUGCCUGUGUACUGGACUGGCCAAUGCCUGUGUACUGGACUGGCCAAUGCCUGUAUACUGGACUGGCCAAUGCCUGUAUACUGGACUGGCCAAUGCCUGUAUACUGGACUGGCCAAUGCCUGUAUACUGGACUGGCCAAUGCCUGUGUACUGGACUGGCCAAUGCCUGUGUACUGGACUGGCCAAUGCCUGUGUACUGGACUGGCCAAUGCCUGUAUACUGGACUGGCCAAUGCCUGUAUACUGGACUGGCCAAUGCCUGUGUACUGGACUGGCCAAUGCCUGUGUACUGGACUGGCCAAUGCCUGUGUACUGGACUGGCCAAUGCCUGUGUACUGGACUGGCCAAUGCCUGUAUACUGGACUGGCCAAUGCCUGUAUACUGGACUGGCCAAUGCCUGUAUACUGGACUGGUCAAUGUCUGUAUACUGGACUGGCCAAUGCCUGUAUACUGGACUGGCCAAUGCCUGUAUACUGGACUGGCCAAUGCCUGUAUACUGGACUGGCCAAUGCCUGUACACUGGACUGGCCAAUGCCUGUACACUGGACUGGCCAAUGCCUGUAUACUGGACUGGCCAAUGCCUGUAUACUGGACUGGCCAAUGCCUGUAUACUGGACUGGCCAAUGCCUGUAUACUGGACUGGCCAAUGCCUGUAUACUGGACUGGCCAAUGCCUGUAUACUGGACUGGCCAAUGCCUGUAUACUGGACUGGCCAAUGCCUGUAUACUGGACUGGCCAAUGCCUGUAUACUGGACUGGCCAAUGCCUGUAUACUGGACUGGCCAAUGCCUGUAUACUGGACUGGCCAAUGCCUGUAUACUGGACUGGCCAAUGCCUGUAUACUGGACUGGCCAAUGCCUGUAUACUGGACUGGCCAAUGCCUGUUUGAGAUACAUCCUGAUUAUGACGUCCUAGAAAACUUAUGGUAG